GCCCUUGAGUUUGAUCCUGGCUCAGGAUGAACGCUGGCGGCGUGCCUAAUACAUGCAAGUCGAGCGAACAGAUAAGGAGCUUGCUCCUUUGACGUUAGCGGCGGACGGGUGAGUAACACGUGGGUAACCUACCUAUAAGACUGGAAUAACUCCGGGAAACCGGGGCUAAUGCCGGAUAAUAUUUAGAACCGCAUGGUUCUAAAGUGAAAGAUGGUUUUGCUAUCACUUAUAGAUGGACCCGCGCCGUAUUAGCUAGUUGGUGGGGUAAUGGCUUACCAAGGCAACGAUACGUAGCCGACCUGAGAGGGUGAUCGGCCACACUGGAACUGAGACACGGUCCAGACUCCUACGGGAGGCAGCAGUAGGGAAUCUUCCGCAAUGGGCGAAAGCCUGACGGAGCAACGCCGCGUGAGUGAUGAAGGUCUUCGGAUCGUAAAACUCUGUUAUUAGGGAAGAACAAAUGUGUAAGUAACUGUGCACGUCUUGACGGUACCUAAUCAGAAAGCCACGGCUAACUACGUGCCAGCAGCCGCGGUAAUACGUAGGUGGCAAGCGUUAUCCGGAAUUAUUGGGCGUAAAGCGCGCGUAGGCGGUUUCUUAAGUCUGAUGUGAAAGCCCACGGCUCAACCGUGGAGGGUCAUUGGAAACUGGGAAACUUGAGUGCAGAAGAGGAAAGUGGAAUUCCAUGUGUAGCG
rnacentral:rRNA from 1 species